rnacentral:rRNA from 1 species
AUUGAACGCUGGCGGAAUGCUUUACACAUGCAAGUCGAACGGCAGCACGGGUGCUUGCACCUGGUGGCGAGUGGCGAACGGGUGAGUAAUGCACCGGAACGUAUCCAAUAAUGGGGGAUAACGCACCGAAAGGUGUGCUAAUACCGCAUACGCCCUGAGGGGGAAAGCGGGGGAUCGUAAGACCUCGCGUUAAUGGAGCGGCCGAUGCCGGAUUAGCUAGUUGGUGAGGUAAAGGCUCACCAAGGCGACGAUCCGUAGCUGGUCUGAGAGGACGACCAGCCACACUGGAACUGAGACACGGUCCAGACUCCUACGGGAGGCAGCAGUGGGGAAUUUUGGACAAUGGGCGCAAGCCUGAUCCAGCCAUUCCGCGUGAGUGAAGAAGGCCUUCGGGUUGU